AUGAACGCUGGCGGCGUGCCUAAUCCAUGCAAGUCGAGCGAACAGACGAGGAGCUUGCUCCUCUGACGUUAGCGGCGGACGGGUGAGUAACACGUGGAUAACCUACCUAUAAGACUGGGAUAACUUCGGGAAACCGGAGCUAAUACCGGAUAAUAUAUUGAACCGCAUGGUUCGAUAGUGAAAGACGGUUUUGCUGUCACUUAUAGAUGGAUCCGCGCCGCAUUAGCUAGUUGGUAAGGUAACGGCUUACCAAGGCAACGAUGCGUAGCCGACCUGAGAGGGUGAUCGGCCACACUGGAACUGAGACACGGUCCAGACUCCUACGGGAGGCAGCAGUAGGGAAUCUUCCGCAAAGGGCGAAAGCUUGACGGAGCAACGCCGCGUGAGUGAUGAAGGUCUUCGGAUCGUAAAACUCUGUUAUUAGGGAAGAACAAAUGUGUAAGUAACUAUGCACGUCUUGACGGUACCUAAUCAGAAAGCCACGGCUAACUACGUG
rnacentral:rRNA from 1 species